CCGGCACGGGUGAGUAACACGUAUCCAACCUGCCGUCUACUCUUGGACAGCCUUCUGAAAGGAAGAUUAAUACAAGAUGGCAUCAUGAGUCCGCAUGUUCACAUGAUUAAAGGUAUUCCGGUAGACGAUGGGGAUGCGUUCCAUUAGAUAGUAGGCGGGGUAACGGCCCACCUAGUCUUCGAUGGAUAGGGGUUCUGAGAGGAGGGUCCCCCACAUUGGACUGAGACACGGCCAA
rnacentral:rRNA from 1 species